UACAGAGGUCUCAAGCGUUGUUCGGAUUCAUUGGGCGUAAAGGGUGCGUAGGUGGCGCCGUAAGUCAGGUGUGAAAUUUCGGAGCUUAACUCCGAAACUGCAUUUGAUACUGCGGUGCUUGAGGACUGGAGAGGAGACUGGAAUUCACGGUGUAGCAGUGAAAUGCGUAGAUAUCGUGAGGAAGACCAGUGGCGAAGGCGGGUCUCUGGACAGUUCCUAACACUGAGGCACGAAGGCCAGGGGAGCAAACGGG
rnacentral:rRNA from 1 species